CUGCAUGUUCUCACUCAUAAGUGAGAGUUGAAUAAUGAGAACACAUGGACACAGGGAGGGCAUCAUCACACACCAGGGCCUGUUGGGGCAUGGGGUGAAGGGGAAGGAUAACAUUGGGAGAAAUACCUAAUGUAGAUGAUGGGAAGAUGGAUGCAG